UACGAAGGUGGCGAGCGUUACUCGGAAUGACUAGGCGUAAAGGGCAGGUAGGCGGUUUGGUAAGUCUGUUGUGAAAGCUCCCGGCUCAACUGGGAGAGGUCAACAGAUACUGCCAGGCUUGAGUACAGGAGAGGUCACUGGAAUUCCCGGUGUAGCGGUGAAAUGCGCAGAGAUCGGGAGGAACACCAACGGCGAAAGCAAGUGACUGGACUGUUACUGACGCUCAGCUGCGAAAGCUAGGGGAGCAAACAGG
rnacentral:misc_RNA from 1 species